rnacentral:rRNA from 1 species
UACGUAGGGGGCCAAGCGUUGUCCGGAUUUAUUGGGCGUAAAGAGCUACGUAGGCGGUUCGGCAAGUCAGCUGUGAAAGUCUCCACGCUCAACGUGGAGGGGUCAGCUGAUACUGCUGUGACUUGAGUCCGGUAGGGGAGUGUGGAAUUCCCGGUGUAGCGGUGAAAUGCGCAGAUAUCGGGAGGAACACCAGUAGCGAAGGCGGCACUCUGGGCCGGAACUGACGCUGAGGAGACGAAAGCGGUGGGGAGCAAACAGGG